rnacentral:rRNA from 1 species
AAUGAACGCUGGCGGCAGGCCUAACACAUGCAAGUCGAACGGAUCCUUCGGGAUUAGUGGCGGACGGGUGAGUAACGCGUGGGAACAUACCCUUUGGUACGGAAUAGCCUCGGGAAACUGGGAGUAAUACCGUAUGUGGCCGAGAUACGAAAGAUUUAUCGCCAAAGGAUUGGCCCGCGUUGGAUUAGGUAGUUGGUUGGGUAAUGGCCUACCAAGCCGACGAUCCAUAGCUGGUUUGAGAGGAUGAUCAGCAACACUGGGACUGAGACACGGCCCAGGCUCCUACGGGAGGCAGCAGUGGGGAAUCUUAGACAAUGGGGGAAACCCUGAUCUAGCCAUGCCGCGUGAUCGAUGAAGGCCUUAGGGUUGUAAAGAUCUUUCAGGUGGGAAGAUAAUGACUGUACCACCAGAAGAAGCCCCGGCUAACUCCGUGCCAGCCGCCGCAGUAA